GAUUUUUAAAAUUAAGGUAAUAUUAUUUUUUACGAAGUCAUUUGAGCUAAAUCUAACUCAAACUUAGAUGAGUAAUUUUAUUGUAGCAUCAAUAAAAUACUAAAGGAAUUUAGGGGUGAAAGGCCUAUCAAAAUUGAUGAUAUCUUGAUGACUGGGAAAUAUAUUUAGUAUAUUUACAAGCUAAAAAUGUUAAGGUUUUUAGUCAACAUAAUUUAUAAUGUAUUUAUAUACUAUAUAUGUAAAAGUUAUAGUACUUGUAAAUAUAAGAAAUAUUUCUUAUCUAUUUAAUAUGAAAAAUACCUGUCUAAUCUAUAUAAUUUAUUAUUAUUUUAAUAAUGAAAUCAUUAGUAUUUCUAAAAAAAUUAGUUAAGGAACUCGGCAAAUAUUCUACUCGACUGUUUAUCAAAAACAUUGCUCUAUGAGGUUAUUUAGAGUUUACCCUGCUCAAUGAGUUUCUUAAAUAGCCGCAGUACUUUGACUGUGCAAAGGUAGCAUAAUAAGUUGGCUUAUAAUUGAAGUCUAGCAUGAAUGGGAAUCCGGGUAUUAACUGUCUUAAACAAUUUUCUUAAAAAUUACUUAGUAAGUGAAAAUACUUACCUAAAGAUGAAAGACGAGAAGACCCUCGAAAUUUUUAUACAAAACUUCCAAGAUCUAUUUUGUUGGGGCGACAAAGGAAUAAAAAUUGAUCUUCCUUUAAUCACAAGAAACUAAUUUGUUGAAAGAUUAAAUUACUCUAGGGAUAACAGCAUUAUUUAUAUUAAGUUUGUGACCUCGAUGUUGGACUAGGGAAUACCUUACGUAGAAGGUAAGUUAAUUAGCUCUGUUCGAGCAUCUUCCCCUACAUGAUCUGAGUUCAGACCGG
rnacentral:rRNA from 1 species